ensembl:lncRNA
CACAAGGGAAUGAUUCCUUUCUAACCAUUACCUCUUCUGUUCAUUUUCAAGCCCUUGCCUCUUUCCAUUUCUCUAGGUCCAUCCGGCUUUGAUCAAUCAUGUGAUCAUUUCUUUCUAGUUGGUUUUUGUAGCACCUCAGAACACCCUCCAUCCUUUCACCAAAACUGCAGUGUAAUAGGGUCUAGAUCAAGAUAUUGUGAGCCACAGUGUCUAGAUGGUGGCAACAUGAAUGGUGACAAUCUAUUCUGCAUGUGCAGCUGAAGUUCUCACCAGGAGAGAAAGUAGUAUGGCCUUGAAGGAUACGUCUCCUGAAGACUUCAAGAAAGAGAAAGUGGAGGGGGGAAGCGGUGAGAGAGAGAAGAGAAUAUCUGGAUUCUGACACUGUUUUCAGAAGAGGAGGGAACGAGCCCAGGGGAAGCUGUGGUGUCUGCUACACGAGUGCUGGCUGCCCACCCUCCAGGUACUAUGCUGCUGCUGCUGCUGCUAAGUAACUUCAGUCGUGUCCGACUCUGUGCGACCCCAUACACGGCAGCCCACCAGAAAGAACACUGGAGGAAUCUUCCUGACCCAGAGAUCGAACCUGUGUCUCUAUGUCUUCUGCAUUGGCAGGGCUUCCAUCAACAUUUCUUGAAGAGAACGUCUGUCAUUAAAUUCCUUCAACUUCUGUAUGUCUAAAAAGAUUCGUGCCUUCUAAGCAUUUCAGAUGAAUGGGAUUCUGCAACAUAGUCUUUUGCAUCUGCCUUGCCUUAUAUAACAUAAUGUUUCUGUGGUUCGUCCAUAUUGUAGUAAAUUGCUGCAAGUUUGAUCACUGGGUUAAGAUGGUGACACAUGGAUCUCUCUAUUAUCAAGUGUGCAUUCUUCUAUGAAGUAACUUGAGAGAACUUCAACAUAAGCUAUUUCCUUACCCUGAAUUAUAGUCCUGGGAGAAAGGCAUCUUUGUGAAAAUGAACAAAAGAAAGAAAAAAAAAAAACAAAAAAACACAAGUCUUCAUAGGCACAUUUGGAUCCAAAUGGAUAUGUAAAGAGGAACUGAGCGGGAAGGGAACUGUCUAACACCAAAGGCCAGAGCAAGCUCAACAUCACCUCUACCCAGCCACCUCCUAAGACAUAAUUCACUAUACACUCUCAUGUUUUCUCAACCAAAAUGCCAUAUCUAAUUGCCAUAUAUAAGUGGAGUGGAAUGCACAAAUCCUUUGUGAUAGCAGAAACUGAUUAUAUCUGCUUUGGUAUUAGUGUUCAGAGUUACAUUGAAAUAAUACAGUUUUAUUAAAAUUUCCACCUAUUCAGCAGUAUGAGAUUUACUAAUAAAAUAUCUGAUUUGAG